AAUGAAUGAUGACAAAAUGUUUCGGUCCCAGAUGAUGCGGAAUGAUUCUAUUUCACCUUUUUCUGACAUU